ACAACUUUCAGCAACGGAUCUCUUGGCUCUCGCAUCGAUGAAGAACGCAGCGAAAUGCGAUAAGUAAUGUGAAUUGCAGAAUUCAGUGAAUCAUCGAAUCUUUGAACGCACCUUGCGCUCCUUGGUAUUCCGAGGAGCAUGCCUGUUUGAGUGUCAUUAAAUUCUCAACUCUA
rnacentral:rRNA from 1 species